rnacentral:rRNA from 1 species
GACGAACGCUGGCGGCGUGCUUAACACAUGCAAGUCGAACGGAAAGGCCCUGCUUUUGUGGGGUGCUCGAGUGGCGAACGGGUGAGUAACAUGUGAGUAACCUGCCCUUGACUUUGGGAUAACUUCAGGAAACUGGGGCUAAUACCGGAUAGGAGCUCCUGCUGCAUGGUGGGGGUUGGAAAGUUUCGGCCGUUGGGGAUGGACUCGCGGCUUAUCAGCUUGUUGGUGGGGUGGUGGCUUACCAAGGCUUUGACGGGUAGCCGGCCUGAGAGGGUGACCGGCCACAUUGGGACUGAGAUACGGCGCAGACUCCUACGGGAGGCAGCAGUGGGGAAUAUUGCACAAUGGGCGGACGCCUGAUGCAGCAACCCCGCGUGCGGGAUGACGGCCUUCGGGUUGUAAACCGCUUUCGCCUGUGACGAAGCGUGAGUGACGGUAAUGGGUAAAGAAGCACCGGCUAACUACGUG